ACGUUGAAACACCGGUUCUCGUCUGAUCACCGAAGUUAAGCAAUGUCGAGCCUAGUCAGCAUUUAGAUGGGAGACGACUUUGGAAUACCAGAU